GGAUUUAAGAAAAUGUGGAACAACAACCACGCUGCACUUUGGUCUGCCGUGACACAAAUACACAUUCUCACCUUCUAUAUGACACGCGUCCAUUGCUCUGAGGUUGACCCAGAAGCUGUGGGUCAUCAGUCUGGCUGUUAACCCUGUGGGAGCAAUAACAGGGCUAUCAUCAGGAUUAAAACUCUUGAUCCAGCACAAACAACACUGUCCUCCAUAGAGGCAGAGACUAACAUGGUCCAUGGGAUCAAUUUUGAAGAGAGAAAUGAGAAUUCAUUCAACAGAUAAUGAAGAUUUACCAAAGGAGUCCUCAUGUGGAGAAUUUACCUGACAACCUUGGGUACAUUCAGUGGAGGGGAAUCAGCAUGUGUCUUCUGACAGGUUUCAGUGGAGGGGAAUCAGCAUGUGUCUUCUGGCAGGUUUCAGUGUCUGCUCUGUCAUUGUCUGACGGUUUUCCAUCCUCCAUUCCUAGAACGCCUUCCUCUCCUUGGUCGCUAAAGGGGAGAUUAUUACAUUGAUAAGGAUUUAAGGAUCUCGAUUGGGAAGGAUACAAAUGUUCUCCAUAUCCAUAGCCUACAUUACAGAGGACUGCCAGGUGAUUAGUCAUGUGGUACAGUUUACCUGGCAUCUCCAUUCAGCAGAGGGGUGUCAGCGCCUGUCUCUUCAUUGUCCAUGGGCUGCCUGUUCUCCUCUCCUGGCUCACCUCCUUGGUCACUAAAAGUGAGAUCAUGAUGACCAUGACUGAAAGGAUAAGCAAGGCAAACUGAUCCAGGACAGAGUAGAGUAUAAAGAUGUAAUAGAGGUAUUUUAACUAACCUGGAAACAACCACAGCCUCAACAGUCUCACCGUCAUCAGGCUUUCUGAUGUCUCUGUGAUAAAACAUGUACCAAAGGUUCAGUCAGAUACCCACAGGUACACCUGGAAUCAUCUACGGUACAUUACACCACAGUCAAAAAUACACCAGUUGCCCUUCUGGCUUGAAUAUGUUAUGUCUUGCCUGGGCAGGGCUCAAAAGGCAGGGUCUUUGCUGAAAGUUGUUGCUUGCCAAUAGACAUUACUGGUAUUUAGAAAUGCCAUGCGGAUCUAUUGAGUAAUUCUUCCUUCGCCUUCUAUAGCAGGGCUUUCCAACCCUGUUCCUGGAGAGCUACCCUCCUGUAGGUUCUGUCUCCAACCCUGUUCCUGGAGAGCUACCCUCCUGUAGGUUCUGUCUCCAACCCUGUUCCUGGAGAGCUACCCUCCUGUAGGUUCUGUCUCCAACCCUGUUCCUGGAGAGCUACCCUCCUGUAGGUUCUGUCUCCAACCCUGUUCCUGGAGAGCUACCCUCCUGUAGGUUCUGUCUCUAAUCCCAGUUGUAACUAACCUGAUUCAGCUUUCAGGGAUGGGCAACUUUGAUGGGGGCCACAAAAAUAUGAACUCAUUAUCAGGGUCUGCAGUGGCUCGCGGGUCUGCGUACCCACAUUUACACUCACACAUGCAGUCAGAGCCGGCCCUAAGCAACAUUUUGCCAUGGGGAAUAGAGAACAUUUUGCAGAUUUAAAGCAAGUUAGCUGCAAUUCUACUGAUUUUGCCAUGGGGUGGAGACAAAUGUUUGCGUGUCAGUAUGAUAUCUAAGCGAGAGUGACCCCCCCCCUUCCCCAUUCAGCAAUUUGACGAUGAUUACUACAAGUUUAGGUAGCUGGUUAAAUAAAUUUACCAAUCUCAAAAAUGGUUAGCUGACAUAGGCUAAUUGAGUGAUUGUAAGUGACUAACAUGACAAGAGGAAAACUGCUAAUAUACAACCAAAUUUC
ensembl:lncRNA